CCAGUUCGGUAAUGGCCGCUGUCGGAGUGGUUCAUAUAGUCUACUCACAGUGUAUCGCACGCUGAUUGGAUGUUUACUUUAUUUACAUUGCAAUCAUAACCAAGAAAUUCUCUGUGACAAGUGUUUAUUGCGUACAGUUACCAUAAAAUAUCAAUAUAUCAAACAAACGAGUGUGUUUUGGUAAAGUUUAUCACGCGUGUACCUACGUAUCACGCGUUGAAAAUUGAAAUGAGAAUGCAUUUGGUGUAGUGUUGUGGUGUGCUAAUUGGGGGUUUUGCUAUCUAAAUGCUGGGCUAUAGGUCCACUAUGUGCAGCAGACAGCAUACCCAGGCGUGUUUGAACACGUCCCUGUCUAUAAGACAGGAAAUACAGCGUUUCGAGAGUGUGCAUCCUUCAAUUUACGCUCUGUAUGAUCUCGUCGAGUUAGUGCCGGACCCGCUGCUAGCUCAGCAAAUUCGUGACCACGUCGUUGCUAUUGAAGGGUUUACUCUCGUUGAUCCAUAGAUACAUGGUAUUGGACUAGUAUUGAUGUGCAAUGAGGCUUUCGAAACAUAAAAAAAAAUAUAGCAGAAAAGCAGACCGAAUCGACCGAGCUGAAUGGAGGCUUGAAAUAAUAUCCCUUUCAUGUCGGUGUAACGGCGUGAAAUGCAAGCCACACUGGGAGCUAAGCUAAGCUAAUCUAACCUAACACACACACACACACAUCCACACACACACAUCUCUUUUCAAAAAUAUGUAAUAGUAUUAGAAAUAAGUACCUUAUGGAACCUUAAAUGUUUUGCAUUAAUUUUUUUUUUCUUGUUUAGUAUUUUAUAUUUUUUUUUAUUAUUUCAUUUUAAAUGUAUUUUAAUUUUCGAGUACCUAAAUGAUAAAAUUGUACAGGAACCGGACUGUAAAUGGCAAUAAAUAUGAACAAAAUUAGCCACUCACUGACUACUACGAUACAGGCCUGCGAACCUAGUGUAGUAAUCACUGUAUAAGAAAUUGUGUACCCGACUUUUAGCUACAAUAAAGUUAUUAUUAUUGUUA